rnacentral:rRNA from 1 species
GUGUCAGCAGCCGCGGUAAUACGGAGGAUGCAAGCGUUAUCCGGAAUGAUUGGGCGUAAAGCGUCCGUAGGUGGUGAUGCAAGUCUAUUGUCAAAGCGUGCGGCUCAACCGCAUAAAGGCAGUGGAAACUGUGUAACUAGAGUGCAUUCGGGGCAGGGGGAAUUCCUGGUGUAGCGGUGAAAUGCGUAGAGAUCAGGAAGAACACCGGUGGCGAAAGCGCCCUGCUAGGCUGCAACUGACACUGAGGGACGAAAGCUAGGGGAGCGAAUGGGAUUAGAUACCCCAGUAGUCC